CCUACGGGAUGCAGCAGUAGGGAAUCUUCGGCAAUGGACGAAAGUCUGACCGAGCAACGCCGCGUGAGUGAAGAAGGUUUUCGGAUCGUAAAACUCUGUUGUUAGAGAAGAACAAGUAGGAGAGUAACUGCUCUUACCUUGACGGUAUCUAACCAGAAAGCCACGGCUAACUACGUGCCAGCAGCCGCGGUAAUACGUAGGUGGCAAGCGUUGUCCGGAUUUAUUGGGCGUAAAGCGAGCGCAGGCGGUCUUUUAAGUCUGAUGUGUAAGCCCUCAGCUCAACCGAGGAAGGUCAUUGGAAACUGGAGGACUUGAGUGCAGAAGGGGAGAGUGGAAUUCCACGUGUAGCGGUGAAAUGCGUAGAGAUGUGGAGGAACACCAGUGGCGAAGGCGACUCUCUGGUCUGUAACUGACGCUGAGGAGCGAAAGCGUGGGGAGCGAACAGGAUUAGAUACCCGGGUAGUC
rnacentral:rRNA from 1 species